rnacentral:rRNA from 1 species
AUUGAACGCUGGCGGCAGGCCUAACACAUGCAAGUCGAACGAGUGGCGGACGGGUGAGUAAUGUCUGGGAAACUGCCUGAUGGAGGGGGAUAACUACUGGACACGGUAGCUAAUACCGCAUACCAUCGGAUGUGCCCAGAUGGGAUUAGCUAGUAGGUGGGGUAAAGGCUCACCUCGGCGACGAUCCCUAGCUGGUCUGAGAGGAUGACCAGCAACACGGGAACUGAGACACGGUCCAGACUCCUACGGGAGGCAGCAGGGGGGAAUAUUGCAAAAGGGGCGCAAGCCUGAUGCAGCCAUGCCGCGUGUGGGAAGAAGGCCUUCGGGUUGUAAAGCACUUUCAGCGGGGAGGCGUUACCCGCAGAAGAAGCACCGGCUAACUCCGUGCCAGCAGCCGCGGUAAUAC